rnacentral:rRNA from 1 species
GGAUUAGAUACCCUGGUAGUCCACGCCGUAAACGAUGGUCACUAGCUGUUCGGAUUUCGGUCUGAGUGGCUAAGCGAAAGUGAUAAGUGACCCACCUGGGGAGUACGUUCGCAAGAAUGAAACUCAAAGGAAUUGACGGGGGCCCGCACAAGCGGUGGAGCAUGUGGUUUAAUUCGAUGAUACGCGAGGAACCUUACCAGGGCUUAAAUGUAGAUUGCAUUAGCUAGAGAUAGCUAUUUCUUCGGACUAUCUACAAGGUGCUGCAUGGUUGUCGUCAGCUCGUGCCG